rnacentral:piRNA from 1 species
UUCCCAGUGAAUAUAGGGACAUGGCAUUG